rnacentral:rRNA from 1 species
UGGGGAAUUUUGGACAAUGGGCGAAAGCCUGAUCCAGCAAUGCCGCGUGUGUGAAGAAGGCCUUCGGGUUGUAAAGCACUUUUGUCCGGAAAGAAAUCCUUGGCUCUAAUACAGUCGGGGGAUGACGGUACCGGAAGAAUAAGCACCGGCUAACUACGUGCCAGCAGCCGCGGUAAUACGUAGGGUGCAAGCGUUAAUCGGAAUUACUGGGCGUAAAGCGUGCGCAGGCGGUUUGCUAAGACCGAUGUGAAAUCCCCGGGCUCAACCUGGGAACUGCAUUGGUGACUGGCAGGCUAGAGUAUGGCAGAGGGGGGUAGAAUUCCACGUGUAGCAGUGAAAUGCGUAGAGAUGUGGAGGAAUACCGAUGGCGAAGGCAGCCCCCUGGGCCAAUACUGACGCUCAUGCACGAAAGCGUGGGGAGCAAAACAGGAUUAGAUACCCUGGUAGUCCACGCCCUAAAACGAUGUCAACUAGUUGUUGGGGAUUCAUUUCCUUAGUAACGUAGCUAACGCGUGAAGUUGACCGCCUGGGGAGUACGGUCGCAAGAUUAAAACUCAAAUGAAUUGACGGGGUCAUAGAUGUUUCCUG